GCCAUUACAAGUCAAGUACUGGCCAUGUCUGUACUGUGAAGCACUGUGCUGGAGGAUGUAGAAAAAUAUAAGGUCCAUAGAGCUAUGGAGAACUGGCCUUCUAAAAGCUACGGCUUAUUACAGUUAGAGCAGAGCAGUAAUUUCAUCAGAGCGAGAAGAUGAAAUUUCCAAUCAACUUCACAGUACUGUUUUAAAGAGACAGAAUGACCAGGACAUAGGGCUUCUCCAGUGAUUGCAGGCCUAGUUAAGACACAGUGGAAUGGCAUGAGGCUAUGAGGAGAGAAACCAGAAAGAGGAUAAUCAGAGGUCAGCAAGAAGUGACGGGAGAUGUAAUUGAAGGACCUCUUCUGAUACAGGCUCCCACUAUAUGCCUCUGCAGAUGUAGGACAGGCUGUACCAAGAGUUGGUUUUCUCUCAGGAAAAAUGGAUUGGGAUAAUCCAGGACAGCUAUAAUUUUGUUACUAUUUUUAUUGUACCUCAAUGUGAUUUGAAGUAUGAAGGGCAGCGAAUUUGAAUCGUGGGAUUACCAGCUUGAUCCAGAAGUCCUAACCAUUGUCUUACAGGUGCCUGGAAAAUGCUGAUAUAU
rnacentral:lncRNA from 10 species